UCCCUGGUGGUCCAGUUGCUAAGAAUCUGCACUUCAACUGCAGGGGGGCCCAGGUUCAAUUCCUGGUUGGGGAA
rnacentral:tRNA from 1 species